GGUUUAUACCCAGCAUCUCAAGGUACGCUUGGGCUUCUGACCAGAGUUUUCUCUGUGUUAGAGAACCAUCAGUUUUUGGGCAGCUCUAACGGGGGAUCUCCCGAGAGCAA
rnacentral:sRNA from 1 species